GCAAGGUCCUCUGCAUCGAGAUGGCUCUCCAAUGGCCCCACAGUACUGAACUUUAGAAGCUGUAGGAGGCUUUCAGAACCACUGAAAGCCAAUGAAGGCGUCUGGGCAAGUCUCUCUAUGCAGUCCUGGCUAUUCUGGAACUCCCUGUGUAGACGAGUCUGGCUUUGAGCUACAUCGACAAAUCUUAAAAACUAUAAUGAAAUCCUGAUCUAGGAAAUUCCUGAACAUCCCUCGAACUGCACUGUUUGAGAGAAUGAAGAGAAUGUACUCAUAGCAGAUCAUUCUUGCACUGUUCAGAAUUAACCAUGGGGCAAAUGGUUGCCCAGACCGAGUCCUCUGCACUCCUGACUCUCCUGGCAGCCAGCUAAACGGCAGGUAUGAGGGUCCCAUUCACUACAAGGCUUAAGUACACCAGGACAAUACAGAGCCAAGGACUCUGACCUUGAAUGAAAGAGAAGUAAACGGGAGUAAAGGAGGGGCAGGCAUGUGAGGUGAGGUACCACAGCUAUUGGGAUUCAAGUGUAAGAGAGAAGUACACAGCAUUGCAUCGUGGGAAACUCAAGCCCUCCUAUGAAGUUCUGACUGGGGAUCCAGAGGCAGGAGGGGGCACCUGGGAUCACAGGUCGCUGUAGGCCGGAGCUGAGUGUUUUAUUGAAAAGAGGCAAUGAGGUAGAAGUAAGGACAUUUACUUAACUACAUACAUCCUUCACACAUGCUAUCCAGAUGGGCAACUUUACCUCAGUGAAUCUGGCCAGCGCAAGCCUCCUACAGACACUGAGUAUCUACGUGUUAGGCUCUACCGUAUACAGAAGAGAUUUUGUUCUCAUCAACAAGACAUGGUUGUGGCAUAUGAGGGGUCAUUGGCCUCUAGUGGGACAGGAUAAUCAUGGAUGGAUACAAAAUUGCCUAGAAGUGGUUAGUUCUUGGGAGACAAACAGGUAAGGGGAGAGGUUGCUGAGUUCAAUGGGGUGGUCGGUCAGGAAAGCCUUCUCACAGUCUGGGAUCUGGAAGCAGAUGUCGCCUGAGAAGAGAGUGGCUACAAGCCUUUCAGGGUGCAGGAGCUGGGGCCUGGAGUGAUGGAGUGGAUCCAGGUUUCUGACCCUGGGUUCUACAUGCUUGGUUUCUACUGGCAUGGCAUUUAUACAGGACUCUGUAGACACUGACUUUGAUGCACCCUAAUGCUUAAACUUGGCAGGGAAGGUCUCCAAAGCUUGGCUGUCCAUUCUUUACCUCCCCAAAUCUGAAUUUAGGAAAUCAGGUACUCCAUGGGGUUCCAGUGCUGUGAUCCAGACGGCCGAGUGGCACCAGUGUCUGGAAACAGCAUCUGCUUUCCUCUCUGGAGGCCGACAGUGCUUUGACUCUCUUUGUGCUGCUGUAAGAGUGAGCAAGGACAUCUGUCUGUAUACACACUGUCUGUAUCCACUUGCUUUCUAGUCCUGGUCAGACUCUCACUAUACGAGCAUACCUCUUCUGACUGGGUGGGUUCCUGAGAGCCACUCGAGAUACCACAUACGCCACCCUCUGGGGACGAAAAGCCAGGGAUGGCAGGCACUCCUGCCGAAGAACCAUAUUGUAAAAACAUGAUACUGAUUGACUUUGCCUCCCCUGAACUGGAGCGGGACUCUGCCAGCCAUAGCACAGUGUACCUUUUCUGUCUUCCACGCUACCCUAACAACAUUGCAAGUAGGAGGACCUGGCUGGUGUGUAAUUUGGAGACAGGUUUUGUGCUCAACUGCUAAGCUUUCUGGUAUUCAGCCAUGGGGACAUAUGGCACCGAACCCUCAGAAGCUGUAGGAAGAAUCUGGAAAAAUAAAGCAGGUUUCCAAAGUGCUUCACCAAACAACUGGCUCCUCCAAUUUGAAUGCAUUCUCCUCAGUGGGGUGUGGAACUCAUCCUUAGGGAUGGCAAAGAGAAAGACGGUUUCAAUGUUUAGGUAAUCAUCAGCCGCGCUGUCCAACAAUGGCUAUUUCGAGUGCCUACUAAGUACAAAGUCCUGUGGUAUCCAAUAAAAGGAACACAGAGAAAUAACACAUUAAAACAACAAUCAAGCAAGAGCUAACAUUACUUUUAGAGAACAAAGACAAAGGUGUCAGCAAGCAGUUAAUAAGCAAUAAUAACUAGAGAUGGAUUGACCUGAUGGCCAUUCAUUGAGGUAUCUGUGUGAACUGGAUUGGACCCAAAGGGUGAGGUCUAACCUUUAUGGAUGGAUCACACAUAAACAAUUUAGGGUAAGCUUUAAGUAAGACAAGAUGUGAGAGUUUAACAUUCCUAAGGGAAAAAAGCUCAGAGUGAAUGAGGGAAAAGGGAAAAAGAGCAACCGUGAGGAGAUUCCAGGCUAGCUUUGCAAGUUCCCUGAUUGGGCAGGUUUUCACGGCCUGGCCAUGGCUUAGUGAGGCCCCCAGAGAGUGUUGUACUACUGAAGCAUCUUCAGUAAGUGCCCGAGCUGAGGGAGGAGAGUGGAGGCGUGCACCCAAACUAAAGCAUUAAAGAAGCAAUGGUAUUGUCUGUGUCAUCAUUGCCUUGGCAUUAUGUCACCCUUCAUAUGCAGGAGUUUUAGGAUGAAAAUUGUCUGAAAUCUCCCAGAAUCCCACCACACCCUGCUGCCCAGAGUUAUCUUUAAUCCAAAAUGGAUAGUUUCUGUGAUCAAUGAGCAACAGUAGUUAUAAUAAGGAGUCUGGUUAAGACCUAAGUAGUUUAGCCUAGGAUGUCUGUCACCCUUUGCCAGGUAAAUCUAUCCAUCCCAGAGAGGCUUCCAUUGUCUUCUGGAAUUCCUGUGGUUCAAAGGCUUCUAUACUACCCUCAUUAUGCCAAGACAUAACUGUGAUGGCUAAGAGCUGCUUAAUUCAAAACCUGGAACUGUGAGGCUCUGUCUCUGUAAUAACAAUGUACAGCCGAGUUAUGCAGGAUCCUCAAAUUCAGGAGAAUGUUAACAAUCACCCCAUGUAAGGCUGUGAACAAGGGGUUUAGGAGAGUACACUACACCAGAUAUUUCAGGAAGGGAGAGGCUGACUUUGACAGCUCUAAGCUCUGAACUUAGCACACUGCCUAGAAUAUGAAAUAAUUCCUUAAGAGUGGCCUGUGAGACAGCCUAUGCCUUUAAUCACAGCACUUGGUAGCCGACACAGGUGGAUUUCUAGGUUUAAGAUCCUGUUCUACAGAGAGAGUUCAAGGACAGUCCCCGACUACACAGAGAAACUCUCUCUAGAAAAACAACAAACAAAAACCAAACAACAACAAAACAAAACAAAAAAAAGAGAAAGAAAGGUUGUUAUACCAAGAAAGACAUUGAAAGCCUGAAAAGAAUAAGGUGCAGGGGUGUGCUCACAAGGAGCCUGGCAUGACGGUGUUUGAGGUUUGCCAUGGGUCUGAAAUGAAGAUGUCGAGGGUGGUGCAGUCAAACGUCCUUCUUUCCCCGUGGGUCUGGCUGGAGGUGAGUAUGUCUGAUGCAUUUCUGUCAUAUUUCUGUGUGAUCAAGCUGAGCAGAAGAGUUGAGGUUCUUCUGACUUGCCUCCUUCAAGGGGCUAAUUUGCCUUUCUUCUCUAAUACUUUCUCAAGAUUAUAGAACUUUUUAUCACUCUAGUAACUUAAAGAAAGAUUAAUUUUGUAGUUUGCAUGCUUGUGUUUGUCUCUGUGCAGUAUGUGGACAUGAAUGCAGGUGCUGGAGGAGACCAGAAGAGGACACCAGAUCCCCUGGAGGUGGGGUUACAGGAGGUCCAAGCUGCCGUGCAGGCUUCUGGGGAUGGAACUUGGGUCUUCUGCAGGAGCUUUAAGUGCUGAGUCAUCCCUCCAGCCCUUCUCUUGGCCCUUGGACCAUAAGAAACCAUUCUCAUGCCCUUUGCCGUACUGACUCCCACACUGUUCUGGGGUGUGAGUAUUUCCUAGGCUGGGUGUGGUGAGCACUUGAGGGUUGAAGCAUGGAGAUCUCAAACCCUGGGACAUAGGAACCCAGUCUUAAAAUGAAAAAGUAAGAAAUAAAAGGAAAAGACAGAAAUGCUCCAAUCUUAAAGGGAAGAAGAGCCAGGUCCAGGUCAUGUUGGCAGAAUGUGAAUCCUUGACUCUGGGAAGAUGAUGCUUUCUCCAGCCGAGGAGACUGCAGGUGUGGCUUGGGUAGGCUGUGGAAAGGCAGGGGUUGUUUCAGUUUUCCUGGGUGGAAUUGGUAUAAUCGCAAAGUCCUUAGAUGUGGAAGCGGGAUGCAAGAGAGGCACAGUGAGGUGUGCUGAUUCUGAAGAUGGCAUGGACGGACACCAAGAAGGGCAGGCAGCCUGUGAGAGCAGAAAAAAACCCGGGGACAGAUGCCCUCCUAAAUGAACCUGAAAGAAAGCAGCCUGCCGACAUACUACUGGUAGCUCAGUUACACAGCUAUAAGUCAACCACUUGCUAAAAGCCUCACAUCAACCAGGUCUGUAAGCUGGACUCAGAGUCCAGGAAAGUCAGGUACUGGUGGGCAGUGAGCUUUUUCUUGUUUUCACCAUUUACUUGGCUUCUUUUGAUAGAGUUCCUCUGUGCAGCUUGGUUUGGCUUGAACUCAGAACCACCUGCCUCAAGAUUCCCCCGGUGCUGGGACCACAGGCAACUGCCAGCACGCCUAGCCCAGUUGGGUCUUUCUCACGAUGGACCCCUUUUGCUGAAACUGACUCGUGUCCUAAAUACAAUCCUGUCUCUUUUACAGGACCCUGUGCGCUUCCUUCAAGUCCACUACAGUCUGUAGAGCUGUCAUUUGUCUAUCGGUUACAUUGGUCCUCACCAGAAUGCAAGUUCUCUGAGAAGACACAGGUCCUGAAUGUGAUCGCCAUGCAGUCCCUACUGCUUAUAACACCGUCUGGCUAACAGAAAGUGUCCCCAUUUUCCAAAAGACUCCCACCUUUUGAGGAUACUGCAGCUGAGUGAAACCAGAGAUGCUGGCCGAGUGUCUGUGCAGACCUUAAAGACUGGAUGCAAGAUGGAAGAGAAAAGGGCUGCACCAGUCCCCAACACAGUUUCUUCUCCCCAGCUUCCAUGUGAAGCAGAAGCCCAGGUCCCUGCGGAGUCCAUCAUCUAGAUAUCCGACUCCUCCCGUCUCCGUUUCAACAAGCCUGCCUCCCGGCCCCUUAAGCACUUUGUUUCCAUUCUGCAUCUAAUUGCUUUUGGAUAAUUAUAUCAUUAACUCUUUGUAAUGAAUAAUAAAAAAUAAAUCACAUU